rnacentral:rRNA from 1 species
UACGUAGGGUGCAAGCGUUAAUCGGAAUUACUGGGCGUAAAGGGCUCGUAGGCGGCCAACUAAGUCAGACGUGAAAUCCCUCGGCUUAACCGGGGAACUGCGUCUGAUACUGGAUGGCUAGAGGUUGGGAGAGGGAUGCGGAAUUCCAGGUGUAGCGGUGAAAUGCGUAGAUAUCUGGAGGAACACCGGUGGCGAAGGCGGCAUCCUGGGCCAAUUCUGACGCUGAGGAGCGAAAGCCAGGGUAGCAAACGGG